GUCGGUUUGAUUUAGACAUCCGAACCGCGGCGGAUGAAAUUAAAAAUACAACUGUAUAGAGUGUUUUUACUCGUCCGUUAUGUUUUUUUUUUUUUUUUUUUUUUUGUUUCAAACGAUAAUUCAUUUUAGUUUUUACGCCUUAUGAUUUAUGCCGCGUUAAUCGCGUGCGCAUAAAUCACCCGGUUUAAUUUCGUCUUGAGGUCCGCUUGCGCGCGCAACUGCACGCAGGACGAUUUCACGUGUGUAAUAGGAUAUUGAACAAAUACCACCAGACAAAAUAACGUAACGUAUUUUCUCUAAUUUAUCAAAUUUACAUAAUUUUUAACCGUGUAUGGUUUUUUUUUUUUUUUUUUUUUUUGAGUACUGAAUACAUAGAUAUAAGUGUAAUAUAUAAUAUUGAAACAAUGAAAACCUUUACGAAAAGCGACAGACUAAACAAACUUAGCUAACUUCUUAUAUUAUUAUAUACUCGUAUAGUCUCUCUUUGAUCGCCGAGACUAUUCAUUUAAAAAAAAAAAAAAAAUUUACAAUGACGGAUUAUGUAUACAGCAU